GACGAACGCUGGCGGCGUGCUUAACACAUGCAAGUCGAACGGAAAGGCCCUGCUUUUGUGGGGUGCUCGAGUGGCGAACGGGUGAGUAACACGUGAGUAACCUGCCCUUGACUUUGGGAUAACUUCAGGAAACUGGGGCUAAUACCGGAUAUGAGCUCCUGCUGCAUGGUGGGGGUUGGAGAGUUUCGGCGGCUGGGGAUGGACUCGCGGCUUAUCAGUUUGUUGGUGGGGUAGGGGCUUACCAAGGUUUUGACGGGUAGCCGGCCUGAGAGGGUGACCGGCCACAUUGGGACUGAGGUACGGCCCAGACUCCUACGGGAGGCAGCAGUGGGGAAUAUUGCACAAUGGGCGGAAGCCUGAUGCAGCAACGCCGCGUGCGGGAUGACGGCCUUCGGGUUGUAAACCGCUUUGGCAUGUGACGAAGCGUGAGUGACGGUAAUGGGAAAAGAAGCACCGGCUAACUACGUG
rnacentral:rRNA from 1 species